rnacentral:rRNA from 1 species
GCUACGGGAGGCUGCAGUGAGGAAUAUUGGUCAAUGGGCGAGAGCCUGAACCAGCCAAGUCGCGUGAGGGAGUACUGCCCUAUGGGUUGUAAACCUCUUUUGUCGGGGAGCAAAAGCCGGACGUGUCCGGCUGUGAGAGUACCCGAAGAAAAAGCAUCGGCUAACUCCGUGCCAGCAGCCGGCGUGAUAAGGAGGAUGCGAGCGUUAUCCGGAUUUAUUGGGUUUAAAGGGGGCGCAAGUGGAUUUUUAAGUUAUCGGUCAAAUCGUGGGGCUCAACCCCAUCCAGCCGUUGAAACUGGGGAUCUAGAGUGUGCGAGAGGUAUGCGGAAGGCGUGGUGUAGCGGUGAAAUGCAUAGAUAUCACGCAGAACCCCGAUUGCGAAGGCAGCAUACCGGUGCACAACUGACACUCAGGCACGAAAGCGUGGGUAUCGAACAGGAUUAGAUACCCCUGUAGUC